rnacentral:rRNA from 1 species
AGAGUUUGAUCCUGGCUCAGAACGUACGCUGGCGGCACGCCUAAUACAUGCAAGUCGAACGAAGUAGCAAUACUUAGUGGCAGACGGGUGAGUAACAUGUGGGUAUCUUCCCUUUGGUGAGGAAUAACACGAGGAAACUUGUGCUAAUACCUCAUAAGUCUUUACGGAGAAAGCUUUAUGCGCCAUUGGAUGAGCCUGCACUUGAUUAGUUUGUUGGUGGGGUAAUGGCCUACCAAGACAAUGAUCAAUAGCUGAUUUGAGAGGAUGAUCAGCCACAUUGGGACUGAGACACGGCCCAAACUUCUACGGAAGGCAGCAGUAGGGAAUCUUGCACAAUGGAGGAAACUCUGAUGCAGCGAUGCCGCGUGAGUGAAGAAGGCCUUUGGGUUGUAAAGCUCUUUCGUCGGGGAAGAAAAUGACUGUACCCGAAUAAGAAGGUCCGGCUAACUUCGUGCCAGCAGCCGCGGUAAUACGAAGGGACCUAGCGUAGUUCGGAAUUACUGGGCUUAAAGAGUUCGUAGGUGGUUAAAAAAGUUGGUGGUGAAAUCCCAGAGCUUAACUCUGGAACUGCCAUCAAAACUUUUUAGCUAGAGUAUGAUAGAGGAAAGCAGAAUUUCUAGUGUAGAGGUGAAAUUCGUAGAUAUUAGAAAGAAUACCAAUUGCGAAGGCAGCUUUCUGGAUCAUUACUGACACUGAGGAACGAAAGCAUGGGUAGCGAAGAGGAUUAGAUACCCUCGUAGUCCAUGCCGUAAACGAUGUGUGUUAGACGUUGGA